UUCUGACGCAGCUUUCCCGUCCAUGUCCUGUGGCUUUAAAACCCUUCCCGCUCCCUGCCGCUUGUUCCUCUGCUUCCUCCCAUUGUCCUCCAAGGCCGGCUGGUGCCUGGCACCAGGUUCCCUUCCUGAGGGUGCUGCAGGAUUCAUCCACUCCGCCAUGAGGGCAGUCAGCGGCUGUCCUACUUAGAAACAGUUGCUAGGUAAGAAGUGGCUUCCAGCCCUGCUGCAGAGGCCUCAAUUCCCACAGCGCCGCUUAGAAAAGGUCCUUCUGUGUGUCACCGGUGUGCUACAUGAGUAGCAUUGAUCUCGCAGGCUGACCUAAUUACUAUCCCUUAAGACUUUUAAUACAACCAAGACAGUGGAGCUGGAGAAGAGUCCAAGACUAUCUACCAUACUCAGAAGACCCAGAAUCACUGCCAUCUGCCUUUGAAAAGGCUUAAGAUUAUAUUUCUUGACACACAACUUGCCUGGACCACACAGCACUGUGGAAGGAUGGGGGAACAAGGCUUUGUCCCUGUUCUCCGCCCUCCACAGACAAUUUAAAAGCACAGUCAGCCUUUUAUCUCCCACUGGCAUGAAAGAGCCAGGAUGUGGCAUAUCUUGCAAAGGUGCCAGAUGUGGAAAGAGCAUGAAAAAGGCUCUGUUUACGCAGUGGCCCCUGUCUAGCUCUCCAUGUUUAGCAAACAAUUUGAUAGUGUGCUAUGGAAGUGCAAAAUAUGAUAUCAUUAAUAAAUAAAGGGCCAGUGAAAUGUCA